GAUGUGGUUAAGUCCGCAACGAGCGCAACCCCUAUCCUCAGUUGCCAUCAUUAAGUUGGGCACUCUGUGGAGACUGCCGGUGUUAAACCGGAGGAAGGUGGGGAUGACGUCAAGUCCUCAUGGCCCUUAUGACCAGGGCUACACACGUGCUACAAUGGCCGGUACAAAGAGUUGCAAUACCGCGAGGUGGAGCUAAUCUCAUAAAGCCGGUCUCAGUUCGGAUUGGAGUCUGCAACUCGACUCCAUGAAGUUGGAAUCGCUAGUAAUCGCGGAUCAGCACGCCGCGGUGAAUACGUUCCCGGGCCUU
rnacentral:rRNA from 1 species